AAAAAUCUGCAUACAGAGCAACGGGAGGAAGAAAAAACAGAGAUACCUACAAAUGGCGAAAUCAAUGAGAUCAAAGAGGGAAAAGAGGCUGAGAGCUAUAAGGAGGGAUAUAGUUGCUACAGAACCAUCUGUUCUUAAGAAAGAAGCUGCUAAAUUGGCUGCCCAAGAAGCUGCCCUUGCUGCUCCUAAGCUUAUUGUUAAGUCUCCCUUCAGCCGCACCACCAUGGAUACUUCUGCCUCUACUUCUAACGACGAAUCUAAAAUGGAUGUGGAGAUGGCUGAUGGCAAUCAAAGUUCAAAAUCUCUAAAACCUCUUGGAAAGAAGAUGAAAAAGAAGCUUAAAAUAGCUAAGAAGAAGAAUCAUGGCAAGGGAAAGAUCAGGAGGAAGAAUGUUUGAUUGCAGGCGGUAGCGAUCUUGCUAAGCUGAUAGAUGUCUUGUUACUUACUGUUGACAAGUCCCUCCCAUAUUCUCUCCUUGAUUCAUGAUCUUACAUUGUAGUAGAGUAUCUUGGAACUUGAGCAUGUGAGUGGGUAUGCUCAUAUAGAUUGUGUUCAUGGGCUGUCAAAAUGAAGCCUCAAGUUCUUAAAUUUGUUUACAAAAUAGAUCGCGUUUUUCAUUUUCCUUUUACAGUUUGUUGGAACAUGCUAAACUUGCAAGGAAAUAUGAAGAUGUAGACUGUAAUCCAACAAUGUUAAAGAUGUUUUAGUUUUCUGAUUAGGAG
rnacentral:misc_RNA from 1 species